AUACUUACCUGGGGAGAUACUGUGAUCAAGAAGGCGAGGCGAGGCCAUUGCACUCCGGCUGUGCUGACCCCAAAUGUGGGAAUCUCAACUGAAUAUUUUCUGGUGGUUGGGGGACUGCGUUCAUGCUCCCCUGAU
ensembl:snRNA U1 U1 spliceosomal RNA